AACGAACGCUGGCGGCAUGCCUAACACAUGCAAGUCGAACGAGACCUUCGGGUCUAGUGGCGCACGGGUGCGUAACGCGUGGGAACCUGCCCUUAGGUUCGGAAUAACUCCCCGAAAGGGGUGCUAAUACCGGAUAAUGUCUUCGGACCAAAGAUUUAUCGCCUUUGGAUGGGCCCGCGUUGGAUUAGCUAGUUGGUAGGGUAAAAGCCUACCAAGGCGACGAUCCAUAGCUGGUUGGAGAGGAUGAUCAGCCACACUGGGACUGAGACACGGCCCAGACUGGGACGGGAGGCAGCAGGGGGGAAUGGGGCGCAAGGGGCGGACGCGUGAUGCAGCGAGGCCGAGGGAGGGAUAACGGGCUUCGGGUUGGGAACCUCUGUCAGCAGGGAAGAAGCUGCGAGGGACGGUACCUGAAGAAGAAGCGCCGGCUAACUACGGG
rnacentral:rRNA from 1 species